UGGAUUCAACGCCGGAAAACUCACCAUAGCCGACGGACAUAUGAAGGUCAGUGUAAUGAACUUACCCGAUUGUUCGAGAGGUAGUGCAUGGCCGCCGUCAGUUCGUACCGCAAGGCGUUCUGUUAAGUCAGAUAACGAACGAGACCCUCAUCUCUAUUUGCUAACCAGAUCUCCGGAUCUGGUGCACUAUAGGGAGACCGCUGGCGCUAAGUCAGAGGAAGGGGAGGGCAACGGUAGGUCAGUAUGCUCCGAAUGCUAUGGGCUACACGCGCAAUACAAAGGACAGGACAAUGGGCUGCUGCUCCGAAAGGAAUGAUNGCUAUCCCGAAACCUGUUCGUAGUUCGGAUUGAGGGCUGUAACUCGCCCUCAUGAAGCUGGAUUAGGUAGUAAUCGCGUCUCAAAAAGGCGCGGUGAAUAUGCCCCUGCUCCUUGCACACACCGCCCGUCAAA
rnacentral:rRNA from 1 species